CCUCUGUCAACAGCAUAAUCCACAAAGCUAUAGAGUGGCACCACUCCAUCACCAUACUUCUCAAACCCAUCCAACUCCUGCUUAGCUUUGGUUUUAAGCUGCUCUGCCACCUCCAUAGCCUUCUCCACCCCAUACAUUUUCACAUAGCUGAACCCCUUCUUCUUCCCCUCUCUAUCACCAUCAUCUCCGCCCUUCAUCUUCUCCUCGAGAAUAUCGUCAACCACCCGGUACAAAACCCCGACAGCUCUCCCAUACCUCCUCAGCCUAUCCAACUCAUCAUCUUCAGCACCCCCCAGCAG
rnacentral:lncRNA from 1 species